GUUUGAGUGAUGACUUGUAUUGUCGGAUACCCCUUCACCCCGUUCAUGGGUGAGAUUCAGCUAGUCUGACAAAC
rnacentral:snoRNA from 14 species